UACAGAGGUCCCGAGCGUUGUUCGGAUUCACUGGGCGUAAAGGGUGCGUAGGUGGUUAGGUAAGUCCGAUGUGAAAUCUCCAGGCUCAACCUGGAAAUGGCAUUGGAUACUAUUUAGCUUGAGGAGUGGAGGGGGGACAGGAAUUCUCGGUGUAGCAGUGAAAUGCGUAGAUAUCGAGAGGAACACCAGUGGCGAAGGCGAGUCCCUGGACACUUCCUGACACUGAGGCACGAAAGCUAGGGGAGCAAACAGG
rnacentral:rRNA from 1 species